rnacentral:rRNA from 1 species
CCUACGGGAGGCAGCAGUGGGGGAUAUUGCACAAUGGGGGAAACCCUGAUGCAGCGACGCCGCGUGGGUGAAGAAGCGCCUCGGCGCGUAAAGCCCUGUCAGCAGGGAAGAAAAUGACGGUACCUGAAGAAGAAGCCCCGGCUAACUACGUGCCAGCCGCCGCGGUAAUACGUAGGGGGCAAGCGUUAUCCGGAUUUACUGGGUGUAAAGGGGGCGCAGACGGCGAUGCAAGACAGGAGUGAAAGCCCGGGGCCCACCCCCGGGACUGCUCUUGGAACUGCGUGGCUAGAGUGCAGGAGGGGCAGGCGGAAUUCCUGGUGUAGCGGUGAAAUGCGUAGAUAUCAGGAGGAACACCGGUGGCGAAGGCGGCCUGCUGGACUGCAACUGACGUUGAGGCCCGAAAGCGUGGGGAGCAAACAGGAUUAGAUACCCCAGUAGUC